UGGGGAUGACGUCAAAGUCAGCACGUCGUCCUUAGCCUGGGCUACACACGUGUUACAAUGGUCGGUACAAAGGGCAGCUACACCGCGAGGUGAUGCUAAUCUCUAAAGCCGGUCUCAGUCCGGAUCGAAGUCUGCAACUCGACUCCAUGAAGUUGGAAUCGCUAGUAAUCGCGGAUCAGCAUGCCGCGGUGAAUACGUUCCCGGGCCUU
rnacentral:rRNA from 1 species